UGGUGUUGUGGUGUUGUGUUAAGAACUUUGUGUGAUAGACAAAGUGAAAUGUUUUCUUUCUCCUCUUGGAGGUGGGAAAAAAGACUAGAAAAGCAUCUCAUUUAAUACCAUCUCUGCAGUUUGCCCUUCAACUUUUUUCUGUGCACAACAAAGCUACUUUAAAUGGCUUUAAAUAAUAAUAUGAGAUCUUUUUACCUUCCCGAAUAUAAUGAUGAACUACAAGAGAUCAUUUCUGAGUUCCACUGAGGCAGUGAAAAUAGAAAAUGUUACAAAGACACAUUCAGAAAAAUGGAUUUGUAAUGCCAGUAUUCUGAAUAAACAUUGUUUUGACUGUCAACUGUUGGUCUAUCAACAUAUUAGUUUGAAAGACACAAACUUUUUGUCUUUGUUAAUGUGAAGCGGUCCAGGGCAGGCUGACACAAACUGCCCGCAGGGAACUAUGAUUCCAUUAGGCUGAUGAUUCAUGUGAAUAUACCAGUACACUUCUCUGCACUUGACAGAACCCAGAGAGCAGAAAAUCUCUUUUUGGAAACAUGAGUCUGAGCUUUUCAAAGGCAGUUGGCACAUCCGUCAAUUGAAUGAGGAAGUGGCUGCUUUACCAUUGUUCUAAGACCAAAGAAGGAAGUUUCAUUCCCAUUGGUGACAGGGAUCUUU